AAUAUUUGUAACAUCUAGAAUGAGGAAGCUGAAUGCCUCCCUCUCUCAGUAAAAUCCCAGGAAGGAGAUCAAAGGAAAACAGUUACAAGUCAGCCCAGGAGAGGGGGAAUUAUGGCACGGAUUUCUCCCGUCUGUUAAUUUUGAAGUCUGUCACUGCUGAUGUUGUUCCUGAUGGACUCACAAGAAAGCUUUCAGAAUAUCAUAUCAUUGAGUAAAGAAUGACAAUUUUUCAUCACUUCAGCUAAUGCUAAAAUGAGGUUGUUUUCAGUUCUUAUUGCUGAUCAUUCUCCAUUAAGGAAAACAGAACUUAAAAAGUAAAGGCAGCACUUUGCUAGGAAGCAUGCAACAUCUUCUCUUAUUCAAAGUGCAAACUGGAUUCACCCCUCACUGCAGUGGUGUGA